rnacentral:lncRNA from 1 species
UAAGAUAUCAAUUUAUAUAACAUAAAUAACCCAUUUUCACAACCUUUAACCUCUCCAAAACGCACAGCACGACUCCAAAACCGCACAACUCUCACCCAAACACCGGAAACCUAUUCGCGCGAAUCUUCCCCUUCUUCGCUCGUAAUGGCUCGACGGUUCACCGACAAACGCCUAGUUCAUCUCCUUAGAAUCUGACUACAUCUUUAUGGAUGAUAUAUUCAUUUGCAAGUUUGACACAAAUCGG